rnacentral:miRNA from 1 species
AAAUAGGACUAUUUUCGGUGGAUA